rnacentral:rRNA from 1 species
GAACAGACGAGGAGCUUGCUCCUCUGACGUUAGCGGCGGACGGGUGAGUAACACGUGGAUAACCUACCUAUAAGACUGGGAUAACUUCGGGAAACCGGAGCUAAUACCGGAUAAUAUAUUGAACCGCAUGGUUCAAUAGUGAAAGACGGUUUUGCUGUCACUUAUAGAUGGAUCCGCGUCGCAUUAGCUAGUUGGUAAGGUAACGGCUUACCAAGGCAACGAUGCGUAGCCGACCUGAGAGGGUGAUCGGCCACACUGGAACUGAGACACGGUCCAGACUCCUACGGGAGGCAGCAGUAGGGAAUCUUCCGCAAUGGGCGAAAGCCUGACGGAGCAACGCCGCGUGAGUGAUGAAGGUCUUCGGAUCGUAAAACUCUGUUAUUAGGGAAGAACAAAUGUGUAAGUAACUAUGCACGUCUUGACGGUACCUAAUCAGAAAGCCACGGCUAACUACGUGCCGGCAGCCGCGGUAAUACGUAGGUGGCAAGCGUUAUCCGGAAUUAUUGGGCGUAAAGCGCGCGUAGGCGGUUUUUUAAGUCUGAUGUGAAAGCCCACGGCUCAACCGUGGAGGGUCAUUGGAAACUGGAAAACCUGAGUGCAGAAGAGGAAAGUGGAAUUCCAUGUGUAGCGGUGAAAUGCGCAGAGAUAUGGAGGAACACCAGUGGCGAAGGCGACUUUCUGGUCUGUAACUGACGCUGAUGUGCGAAAGCGUGGGGAUCAAACAGGAUUA